AAGCUGGACGAGGAGGACAUCGUAUCCUACAUCCUCGCCGGCCUGGACUCCGAGUACAACCCAAUCGUCUCCGCCAUGUGCUCACGAGUUGAACCUGUCUCCGUGGGCGAGCUCUACGGGCAGCUUCUGAGCUUCGAGA